UUCAACGGGGAGAAUCUGAGGUGACUGUUUUUUGGGGAGUUGAUUUGAGGGGCGCUGAUGGAUGACAGCAAUAUUAGAUAUCAGUAGAAUGAUUUCUAUUUCUAUCAGUAGACAUCAGUAGACAUCAGUAGACAUCAGUAGACAUCAGUAGACAUCAGUAGACAUCAGUAGACAUCAGGGCUGCUGGUAGGACCUAGAAAGUGAAGACCCCGGGACAGGUCCCUUUCUUCAACAAUUGAGGCUAUCAGUGCUCUCGGCUCUGGGGAGAGAAGGCAGGGCUACCUGGGCUGCGUGGGGGUCACCGUGUCUUCUGUCACCAGCCUGCCCCGGACAGAACAGCAUACAAAGGGACUAGAGUUCGUGGGACAAGAUUUGCUCUGGGUUGUCCCACCUGCGGAGACUUUGACCUCCAGGAUGUUGAUGAGUCCUGGGGGCCGGUCUUGUACCAGGAUGGACAGGGGCUCCAGAUCGUAGGGGAAACCCAGUGAUGCUGGCCACCUCUCUCCUGUGUUAACUUUUAAAGCCUCUCCAUCUCACAGAACACUUGUCUGUGGUAGGGGCUAAUGGAGGUGAAGCAAUAUGGCCCAGAAUUAGGAAAGAAGUUGAUGCUGAGUUGGGAAAUGGGGAAAUGUUCUCCAGUAGAGGAAGAGGCACGAGUGUGCCUUUUGCCCUACUGGGGGAGUGUGGAUCCCAAGAGGGGCUGACAUUUCAUAUCAUCUAGCCUGUGCCCGAGGCCAGCCCAGAGCUUCCUUCCCAGACAAGAUGCCAGGCCACUCCGGAGGAGGGGAUGGUUCCACAGGCUUGAGAUGCAGGCGGGUCUCCUCUCUGCCCCUGACCUGUGGCAUGACCUUGAGCAGUUCCAGUGACCUUGCUGGGCCUCAGUUUCCUUGUCUGGAGGAUGAGGUGUUUACCCGAAGAAAAGCUCCCAGAAACACCCUUGCAGGAACUCACAGCAGACUUUCAGAACGGCAAAAGUGGAAACAGCCCAGGUGGCCACGAAGGGUGGAAUGGCCCAUACCAUUGUGGCGGAUGCUUGCCAUGGGGGACCGCACAGCGGAGCAGGACAGGGAGCUGCUCCCAGCUCAGCCACACAGAGAAAGCUGAGCAAAACAGGCAGACAAGUCCACGUCCUCAACAGAAGUCCACAUACUCCAGUGAGAGAAAGAAGAGCAGUGGCUGCGUGGGGCUCGGGAGGGGGGGUAAGCAGGGAAGAGUACAAGGGAACUUUCUGGGGUGAUGAUGGGGUGUUCUAGACCUUGAUCUGGGUGGUGAUUACACACAGGUGUCCAAACUCCUCCCACGUUCCACUUAAGACCUCUGCAUUUUACGGCAAGUAAAUGAUGCCUCAAUAAAACAUAAUCCUCAA